rnacentral:rRNA from 1 species
UGCGUAGGCGGCUGUGCAAGACAGAUGUGAAAUCCCCGGGCUUAACCUGGGAACUGCAUUUGUGACUGCAUGGCUAGAGUGUGUCAGAGGGAGGUGGAAUUCCGCGUGUAGCAGUGAAAUGCGUAGAGAUGCGGAGGAACACCGAUGGCGAAGGCAGCCUCCUGGGAUAACACUGAGCUCAGGCACGAAAGCGUGGGGAGCAAACA